CCUACGGGGGGCAGCAGUGGGGGAUAUUGCACAAUGGGGGAAACCCUGAUGCAGCGACGCCGCGUGGGCGAAGAAGUAUUUCGGUAUGUAAAGCCCUAUCAGCAGGGAAGAAGAAAUGACGGUACCUGAGUAAGAAGCACCGGCUAAAUACGUGCCAGCAGCCGCGGUAAUACGGAUGGUGCAAGCGUUGUCCGGAUUUAUUGGGUUUAAAGGGUGCGUAGGCGGAAGGUUAAGUCAGCGGUCAACUGUCGGUGCUCAACACCGGCCUGCCGUUGAAACUGGUCUUCUUGAGUGAGCGAGAAGUAUGCGGAAUGCGUGGUGUAGCGGUGAAAUGCAUAGAUAUCACGCAGAACUCCGAUUGCGAAGGCAGCAUACCGGCGCUCAACUGACGCUGAGGCACGAAAGCGUGGGGAUCGAACAGGAUUAGAUACCCUUGUAGUC
rnacentral:rRNA from 1 species